GGAAAAGUUUCUGAGAAGGGAGAGAAAUGGAGGGAAGUGAGACAUGACUAAGAUGUAGGUAAAAAGGAAUAAAGGUUUUCCCUGCUCAAAACUCUCAUGAAGAAAUUAAUGGAGAAGGAAAGCACAAAGCAUGCUUGAAAGAAAGCAAAGGCAGAAGAGAUGUGGCAGAAGGGGAAGUAAGAGAGAUUCCAAGCAUGAGAAGGAUUUGGUGUGCUGUUGCUGCCUCUGAAAUGCAGGACUCCCCACGCAUGGACCAGAGGAGGCCACAAAGCUGAGAGUAGUCCCCAGCUGACCGCCAGCAAGGAGAAGAGGAGCUCAAUCCUACAGCUGCAAGGAAAUGUUUUCUGCCUAUAACCUGGCUGAGCUUGGAAAGCUUUUUUUCCCAGAACCACUCCAUAACAACCCCCACCAACCAAUAUCUUAACUUUGGCUUUGUGACACCUACAGAAGAGGAAUCAGCCAAGACAACCUGGACUUCUGACCUAAAGAGGCAUGAGAUAAUAAAUGGGUGUUGUUUUAAGUUGCUAAAGUGGUAGUAAUUUGUUAUAGCAGCAAUAGAAAGUUAAUUCAUCCUGUAUAUUUUUUUCUUUUUAGUCCAGUGCGGUCUUUCUCAUCUUGUUUUUUACUGUCUCUGCCAUUCAUUUGGUAUGUGGGGGAGGCUGCCUUUUACUGUUUUUCUGAACAUGAAUGCAUCAUUUUCCCAACUAGGUUAUAAUUUCUUUGAGCACUAUGGUCUUGCCUUGUUCAUGACUAUACGUGUGUGUGUGUGUGUGUGUGUGUGUGUGUGUGUGUGUGUGUGUGUAUUUCCAGCUGCUUACUGUUGCAUUUGAGGCUUCCUGAUCCUGCCUGCCUGCAUCUAUCUUUUAGGCUUUUCACCCAUCAGUCUCUGACACCUACCCUAGAUUUCAAUCUACA
rnacentral:lncRNA from 1 species